UGCGUCGGGAUGACUCAGCGGUUUCUUGUCAGUGUCACGUUUACGAUAGAAUUUUAACCCAAACUUUCUGCUUCUAAAGCUUCGUUUAUCUUUUUUUAAAAUGAAAUUAAGGGAGUUUUGCUGUUCAAUAAGAAAUUCUGUAGGUACAAAAAAAGUAAUAAAGAAACGGAACGGCAAAUGACACCAAACCAUGACGGAGCAUUUUUAUUAUGACAGGAGACCAACAACCUCAUGAAGUCAAACAGCAGCUUGGCCAGCAUGGCGACAACGGUGAGGAUGAGGAGGCCGGCCAGGGCGUAGAUGCUCCACACUGCAAAAAGACAAAGCAAAGAAGGCGGGGGUGACACGGUACCAUGGCGUCAAUGGUGUUGCUUGGCCAAGAAAACAAAGUGCAGCAGACCGAAAGGACAAGCAUGUCCAGCCCACUGACCUGGCAUUCUGUGCUCCGGUUUGCCGGGGCUGGACGUGAUCACGUAGAGGAUCUGUGAGGACGAGGAUGAGCGUCCUUUGGCUGUUACAUUGGCACCGUCGGUGACGCCGGGGGCUGGCUGAGGUUCCACCGUGCUGGAGAAGCCUUCAUUCUCAUCCUCCGCG